rnacentral:rRNA from 1 species
CGACGACCUCAGAGCAGGCGUGACUACCCC